UAAUUAAGCGGAGGAAAAGAAACUAACAAGAAUUCCUCUAGUAAGGGCGACUGAAGCAGGAAUAGCUCACCAUGUGAAUCUGCGUAACCAACUCAAAGUUGGCGCGCCGAAUUGUGGUCUGUAGAGGUAACAUCGACCAAUGUACUGGGCCAAGUCCCUUGGAAAAGGGCAGCUGAGAGGGUGAUACUCCCGUUCUUGCCUGGUACUAUGUGUCAUAGUAUGUGCCUUCAAUGAGUCGAGUUGCUUGGGAUUGCAGCUCAAAUUGUGUGGUAAAUUCCAUAUAAAGCUAAAUAUUGGUGGGAGACCGAUAGCGCACAAGUACCGUGAGGGAAAGAUGCAAAGAACUUUGAAAAGAGAGUUAAAAAGUACCUGAAAUUGCUGAAAGGUAAGCGAUAGAAACCAGUGCACAGUUUCAUCAUAUUUUUCCUUCUACUUGUAGGAGGGACGCUGUGAUUAGACAAUGGUCAGGAUGGGUUUUCCCGGGGAUAAAUGUGUAUAUAGGAGUUGCCUGUAUUCACCUAUUUCUGGUAAGACUAAGGUAGUCACGUAAGUGCUCGUGAUCCUGACAAAAUGGUUUUUAUUACCCCGUCUUGAAACACGGACCAAGGAGUCUAACACACAUGCGAGUAUGAGGGUGAUAAACCUUUAUGCGUAAUGAAAGUAACAGUGGUUGGACUCUUUUGAGGCACAAUCUGCCGGCCAUAAUUCUUCGGAAGAAAGGUCUGAGUGUGAGCAUGUGUGUUGGGACCCGAAAGAUGGUGAACUUUGCGUGAGUAGGGUGAAGCCAGGGGAAACUCUGGUGGAGGCUCGUAGCGAUUCUGACGUG
rnacentral:rRNA from 1 species